rnacentral:rRNA from 1 species
GAUUUCUGACCACGCUUAACAUGAGGCCGGCCGCGAUUUCGCGUGUUAGUGCUUUAUGUUCUGGUCAUCCUUCCAAUCGCAAUUGGUGUUGUGUCUUCAUUGAUGCAGCGUCAGUUGUAUUGGAUCUUUUACUUUGAAAAAAUUAGAGUGUUUCAAGCAGGCUUUAUGCUAUGAAUACAUUAGCAUGGAAUAAUAAUUUAGGACUUCGGUUCUAUUUUGUUGGUUUCUAGGACUGAAGUAAUGAUUGAUAGGGACAGUUGGGGGUGCUAGUAUUCAGCGGCCAGAGGUGAAAUUCUCGGAUUCGCUGAAGACUAACUUAUGCGAAAGCAUU